UACGGAGGGUGCAAGCGUUGUUCGGAAUUACUGGGCGUAAAGGGCGCGUAGGUGGUUGCGUAAGUCGGAUGUGAAAUCCCCAGGCUUAACCUGGGAACUGCAUCCGAUACUGCGUGACUCGAGUGCAGCAGAGGGAAACGGAAUUCCUGGUGUAGAGGUGAAAUUCGUAGAUAUCAGGAGGAACACCGGUGGCGAAGGCGGUUUCCUGGGCUGACACUGACACUGAGGCGCGAAAGCGUGGGUAGCAAACAGA
rnacentral:rRNA from 1 species